UGCUUAUUCGCCGACUUUGGAUGGAUUUCCGUCUUUUUGCAAAAUCUCACCGUCUAAAAGAACUAGCAAAACAUUAAUUUUUAUUUCCUCAAAUCCGUGAAAUGGUAUUUUAGUGGAAAAACUCCAAAUCGUUGAGAAAUUUAUCAUAAAAUAAUGGUGUGUUUACCGGAGAUGGAGGCGGCCAUCUCGGAAUCCACAACAUUUUGAAGCCUCAU